UCUUAUUGGUAUGUUUUAAUGAAAACAGGUUUUUACCUGAAUGCUAGUUUAUCAAUAUUUUCCUUUAUAAUCAGUGCUCUUUGUAUCCUGUUUAAGAUAUCUUUGCCUACCUAAAGAAAUUAUGAAGAUUUUUCUCCUAUGUUUUCUCCCAAAAGUCUUAUUGUUUUAUUGUUUAUAUUUAAAUAAGCCAUCCAUCUAAGAUUGAUUUUGGUGUUUGUAUGAGGUAGGGGUCCAGAUUCAUUUUUUUCCAUCUAGAUAUCCAGUUGACCCAGCACUAUUUUUUGAGAAGACCAUCCUUUCCCUGCUUUGCUGCAACAUCAACUUUCUCCUAAACUGAGUGACUGAAUAUGAGUGGUUUGGGUAGAAAUUUUAUAGCUUUCCAGUUCCUGCCUUGGGAGUCACAUGGGAGUAAAAGAGAGAAAAAACAUCAGUGUAUGAGUAUUCACAACCUUGAAUGGACGAAUCUGUGAACUGGGCAGUUUGCUCUGCAUGAUAAAGACCAGAGGGGAGAAGAGCACGGUGGGGGCCAGCCCACUGGUGAAAGUGCUUAAGUUCUCAUGCUCUGCUUCAGUGGCCCGGGGUUGGCAGGUUCGGAUCCUGGGCGCAGACCUACGCAUUGUUCAUCAAGCCAUGCUGUGGCAGCAUCCCACAUACAAAAUGGAAGAAGACUGGUUCAGCUGUUAGCUCAGGGACAAUCUUCCUCACCAAAAAAAAAAGAAGAAGAAGAAGACUGUGAUGUUUGUUCUGUUCUAUCUGCUUUCCCCCACUGCCCGGCCCCCAGCACAGAGACUUCUACCCUUCUCUCCCUUCAGGGGCACCCUGCAUCUUGACCAUACAGAGCCCCUCUUGUUUAAUCAUUUUUCCACUUCAUCCUGAAUCCCCGCUUCUACAUUUCUUCUCCACCAUAGACACUCCCUUUAAUUUCUUCAAUUUGUCUCAUACUAAAAACAAACAAAAACUUUCCAUUGAUGAAAUGGCCCCUCCAGGCACUGCGCGACCCCUCUGCUUUUCUUGAUGGCAAAAUGCUUCAAAACUGCCAUGUCGGGAAGAGUCUUGGGAACACUGUGGGUGGGGACAGAAUGGAAUGGAGGAGAGGCCCAUAGAAGUGGACAGAGGGCAUGAGUGGAAUAAAGCAGACCCCGCAUAGGUAUAGAGUUGAGGGUCAAGUGGAGUCACUGCCUCUGUCCUACUGGUCUGUGAGGUGGCCAGAGGCCCGGGGUCCCCACUGGGUGUGCUGGGAUGGCUGUCCUGGGCAGUCUUGGGGCUGCUGGUGGCUGGACACGAAGGUCAUGGCAACCUGUGCAAGGACCUGCAUGAGGACCCCUAUGGCUGCAGCCACAGGCACUCACGUGUGGAUUUCUACCAUGGACACAGCCAUGCCUGUGGCCAUGGGUCACCUUCAUUAGGGCAUCUGGCAUGUACAUACUCAUGGUCACAAUCGCGGACAUUCGCAUGAGGAUGUGCACCAUGGCCACUCCCACGAGAGCCUCUACCACAGAGGACAUGGCCAUGGCCACGAGGACAGUCACGGAGGCUGUGGGGAGUCAGGGGCUCCUGGCAUCAGGAAGGACCUGGACUCUGGAGGCCACAGUGCUGACUCUGUAGCUCCAUUUUUCAUCCUCUUCUUUACUCCUGUGGAGUCAAACUCCUGGCAUCGCCCUCUGCUCUAGAUUUUGCUCUGUUUUGCUUCGAGUGGGCUCCUGGGAGAUGCUUGCCUGCAACUCAGCGCUCCUGCCCCGGAGCCUCAUUCUCACCACCCCCUGGAGCACUGUGGGAGGGCCCCAUCUGUCCACGGGACUGUGGGUCCUCGGUGGAACUGUUGCUUCUCUUGUGGUGGAGAAAUUUGUGAGACACGUGACAGGAGGACAUGCACACGCUCACGGUCACACGUGGAAGACAAGAGCGUCCUUCGAAGGAGAAGCAGAGCUCAGAGGAAGAAGAAAAGGAAGCGGGGGGUCGUGGAAGAGGAGAGGAGGGAGCACAGACCCAAAGAUGGGCCGUGGAGACCUCACAAUUCUGAAGGGGGAAAAACAGGUUCAGACCUGCGUGUAUCGGGGAACCUGAAUAUGGCUGCUGACCUGGCACACAGCUUGCUGGAUGGUCUGGCCAUUGGCGCUUCAUUUCAAGGGGAUCAGGAGCUGGGAUCCUGCGCAUAUGACUGUCCUGCUACAUGAAGUGCAUCCUGGUCCAGUUUGGCAAUAGGCACACUGGCAGGCACAGCCUGUGCCCUUCUAACGCUAGGAGGGACAGUGGGCAGUGAAGCGCAGUGGUACAGGUGGCGGCUGGGUUCUGCCUUUCACUGCAGGCGGCUUUAUCUCCGUAGCAAUGGAGUCUGUGUUGUCUGAGCUGUCACAUCUGGAGGUGCUGGGGCGGUGGGGCAAGCUGUCAUGAUGGUGCUGAUUGCCCACCUGGAGGGAGACGUGGGCUAAACCGCCCCCCCCCCCGUGCCAAAUCUCUAGCCUCUAACUCCUCCAGGUUGGGGUGUGUGGAGGUUGGGGUCCUGGCAGAGAACAUCUGUCAAAGGAAGGAGCUGUAUCCUAAGGCAGAGGCGACUUGAUGUAAGGGCCAUCGAGGUUUGGCAGCCUCACAGGGGCUGGAGAGGUGAGAAAGAAAAGCACCACGGUGCUGGGCACAGGCCAAUCAUGUUGGUGGGUCAGGGGGCCUGAGUGGGGCCAAAAAGAAAGCUGGAAGAGAGAGGAACGAUGGCAGUCCAGCCCAUGUCUCCACCCUACCUGUUCUCAGAGGACUAAGCUGCCACACACAGGCUUCUCCAAGGCCCACCUCCCUCUCCCCCACCUGUUGGUGGAGGCUUCAGGGAAGAGCAGAAUUUGGACACAGCGGGAAGCAGGAAUUGCGGAGGAUAAACAUCAAUUAAACUUCAACCACGUGUCUUGAUUUGAUAGUGAAUGAGGGAGGGGAGUUAGCUGCUAAUCUCAUGGACUGAUUUUUGUGUGUUUCUAUUCUUUUUAUAUCACCGUUUGGAUCAAGAGAGAAGAGUGGUGACCAGAAAUAAAGUCCUUGAAUUUUCCACCCC
rnacentral:lncRNA from 1 species